rnacentral:rRNA from 1 species
GAUGAACGCUGGCGGCGUGCCUAAUACAUGCAAGUCGAGCGAACGGACGAGAAGCUUGCUUCUCUGAUGUUAGCGGCGGACGGGUGAGUAACACGUGGAUAACCUACCUAUAAGACUGGGAUAACUUCGGGAAACCGGAGCUAAUACCGGAUGAUAUUUUGAACCGCAUGGUUCAAAAGUGAAAGACGGUCUUGCUGUCACUUAUAGAUGGAUCCGCGCUGCAUUAGCUAGUUGGUAAGGUAACGGCUUACCAAGGCAACGAUGCAUAGCCGACCUGAGAGGGUGAUCGGCCACACUGGAACUGAGACACGGUCCAGACUCCUACGGGAGGCAGCAGUAGGGAAUCUUCCGCAAUGGGCGAAAGCCUGACGGAGCAACGCCGCGUGAGUGAUGAAGGUCUUCGGAUCGUAAAACUCUGUUAUUAGGGAAGAACAUAUGUGUAAGUAACUGUGCACAUCUUGACGGUACCUAAUCAGAAAGCCACGGCUAACUACGUGCCAGCAGCCGCGGUAAUACGUAGGUGGCAAGCGUUAUCCGGAAUUAUUGGGCGUAAAGCGCGCGUAGGCGGUUUUUUAUGUCUGAUGUGAAAGCCCACGGCUCAACCGUGGAGGGUCAUUGGAAACUGGAAAACUUGAGUGCAGAAGAGGAAAGUGGAAUUCCAUGUGUAGCGGUGAAAUGCGCAGAGAUAUGGAGGAACACCAGUGGCGAAGGCGACUUUCUGGUCUGUAACUGACGCUGAUGUGCGAAAGCGUGGGGAUCAAACAGGAUUAGAUACCCUGGUAGUCCACGCCGUAAACGAUGAGUGCUAAGUGUUAGGGGGUUUCCGCCCCUUAGUGCUGCAGCUAACGCAUUAAGCACUCCGCCUGGGGAGUACGACCGCAAGGUUGAAACUCAAAGGAAUUGACGGGGACCCGCACAAGCGGUGGAGCAUGUGGUUUAAUUCGAAGCAACGCGAAGAACCUUACCAAAUCUUGACAUCCUUUGACAACUCUAGAGAUAGAGCCUUCCCCUUCGGGGGACAAAGUGACAGGUGGUGCAUGGUUGUCGUCAGCUCGUGUCGUGAGAUGUUGGGUUAAGUCCCGCAACGAGCGCAACCCUUAAGCUUAGUUGCCAUCAUUAAGUUGGGCACUCUAAGUUGACUGCCGGUGACAAACCGGAGGAAGGUGGGGAUGACGUCAAAUCAUCAUGCCCCUUAUGAUUUGGGCUACACACGUGCUACAAUGGACAAUACAAAGGGCAGCGAAACCGCGAGGUCAAGCAAAUCCCAUAAAGUUGUUCUCAGUUCGGAUUGUAGUCUGCAACUCGACUACAUGAAGCUGGAAUCGCUAGUAAUCGUAGAUCAGCAUGCUACGGUGAAUACGUUCCCGGGUCU